UACGUAGGUGGCAAGCGUUGUCCGGAUUUAUUGGGCGUAAAGCGAGCGCAGGCGGUUCCUUAAGUCUGAUGUGAAAGCCCACGGCUCAACCGUGGAAGGUCAUUGGAAACUGGGGAACUUGAGUGCAGAAGAGGAGAGUGGAAUUCCAUGUGUAGCGGUGAAAUGCGUAGAUAUAUGGAGGAACACCAGUGGCGAAGGCGACUCUCUGGUCUGCAACUGACACUGAGGCGCGAAAGCGUGGGGAGCAAACAGGAUUAGA
rnacentral:rRNA from 1 species